GUAUAAAAAUAAUUGACUUCAUGAAGUUGGUCUGUUUAAUUUUUUAACUUAUCUUGAAUGUCUCCACUCCAUACAAGAUGCUCUGGAGGAAGGUGGAAAACCCUUUGCAACUGCCAUCUAAACAUCAGGUUUCCCACAGAGGCUUGCCUGCAAGUGUAACAAGUUCUUUCUUUUUGCCUGAAUAAUUGGGUGACUGCCCAGAAAGAAAAAGAAUGAACCCUCCAGCUCCUGUCGGAUCUUCCUGAAAAUAGCUCAAACCCAUAUGUCAUUUGCCUCCUGCUGAUACUUCCACACCAGGAAUCCCUUCAGCAAAGCAACCAAGACUCAAAGAGAAAUACAUAAUAUGUUCUUUGCUCCUUAUGCUCAUAUACCUAAGCCCUGUUCUCUAAAUCAGAGGCCCAGAGAAACCUCUGGUGAAGAUCAGGAAAUCCUACCUACAGUUCAACCUGGAAGCUGAAGAAUUUCCUAUUCUGGCAAAAUGAAUUUUAGGAUGGUGCCCCCAGAAAAGAUUUACAAAGCUACCUCUAUGAGAGAUGGCUGCUUCCAGAUCCCAAAGCCUCUGACUGAAUCAGUAACAGCAAUUGCUGAAUGUGAGACCUCUCAAUUUAAUUCCGGAGUCUGUAUCACCCAAGGAAAGACCCAGCACUAGAGUCAACAUAACCCCAGGAUCAUGAAGCCCUGUGGAUUGUAAAUAUGCAAUUAGCAGCUGGAGUAGAAGUAAAAGCAGAAAAUGUCAACUGUCAAGUAGCUCCAUUGAAAGACACAUGAUGCUUCAAGCUAAGACAGAAAGACAAAAGUACCUAACAACAAGGAUGAAGGAUCCCAGGGAGGGGUCAUUGCCAACUGAGCAUCUGAGUGAUGUCAAGGUCCCAGUUCUACUUCUUGUCCACUGUGCCAGGGAUCAGCAGGCUGGGCAGUGGAUCCCUCCCUUCUUCAGAACACCAUCUCCUCCAAUCCUGCUUCCUCUGUGCUACUCAGACAUUUGCACCAUGCCUUUCCUUCUGCCAGGAUACAGAAAAGCAGGGAA